rnacentral:rRNA from 1 species
UGGGGAAUUUUGGACAAUGGGCGAAAGCCCGAUCCAGCCAUGCCGCGUGAGUGAAGAAGGCUUUCGGGUUGUAAAGCUCUUUUAGUCGGAAAGAAAGAGUUGCAAUGAAUAAUUGUGAUUUAUGACGGUACCGACAGAAAAAGCACCGGCUAACUACGUGCCAGCAGCCGCGGUAAUACGUAGGGUGCGAGCGUUAAUCGGAAUUACUGGGCGUAAAGGGUGUGCAGGCGGUUUUGCAAGUCCGAUUUGAAAGCCCCGGGCUUAACCUGGGAAUUGCGUUUGAAACUGCAAGACUAGAGUGCAGCAGAGGGGAGUGGAAUUCCAUGUGUAGCAGUGAAAUGCGUAGAGAUAUGGAAGAACACCGAUGGCGAAGGCAGCUCCCUGGAUUGACACUGACGCUCAUGCACGAAAGCGUGGGGAGCAAACA